UAGUGAAUUAAAUAUUGCCACUUGGUC
rnacentral:sRNA from 1 species